GAUGAACGCUGGCGGCGUGCCUAAUACAUGCAAGUCGAGCGAACGGACGAGAAGCUUGCUUCUCUGAUGUUAGCGGCGGACGGGUGAGUAACACGUGGAUAACCUACCUAUAAGACUGGGAUAACUUCGGGAAACCGGAGCUAAUACCGGAUGAUAUUUUGAACCGCAUGGUUCAAAAGUGAAAGACGGUCUUGCUGUCACUUAUAGAUGGAUCCGCGCUGCAUUAGCUAGUUGGUAAGGUAACGGCUUACCAAGGCAACGAUGCAUAGCCGACCUGAGAGGGUGAUCGGCCACACUGGAACUGAGACACGGUCCAGACUCCUACGGGAGGCAGCAGUAGGGAAUCUUCCGCAAUGGGCGAAAGCCUGACGGAGCAACGCCGCGUGAGUGAUGAAGGUCUUCGGAUCGUAGAACUCUGUUAUUAGGGAAGAACAUAUGUGUAAGUAACUGUGCACAUCUUGACGGUACCUAAUCAGAAAGCCACGGCUAACUACGUG
rnacentral:rRNA from 1 species